rnacentral:lncRNA from 1 species
GCAAUAUUACCCCUGAACCAAAAACAGGAAAUUGUCAUGAAGGAAAAUUCCUCAUACAAGUUCGUUUCAAACAUUGUUGUUUUGGCUAGAUUAAACAAGUCGUUGAGAAUGAACAAUGGAAGCUGAUUUUCUAGCAGCAAAAUCUCAUGCGUCACAUCAUUAUACAAAAAUAAUUUUCCUAAUAUGGGAUCCUCAUUCGUUCUGAGAUUAGGUUGAUAAUACUUCAGAAAGAGCUCAAUGAGAAACACAGCAUCCACUAAAACCAUUUUUAUGAACUCAUCACUCCCAAGAUUACAUUGAUUGUAAUUAAGGUUGUUGGAAGUACUGCUGUACGGCCAAGGCGGACGUGCGGUACAGCCGGAAAGCACUUAAGGUAUCUUUUCUUAUGCUCUUCCAUGGCUUUUAGCUCUUCCUUACCAUGAUGAAAAGGGCCAAUUGAAACCAUUCGCGGAGUAAAAUGACUUGGAUGGGAACACCGCGUGGCCUCAGGAACUCUGUAGAUGGAACACUCUCUGGCUAAGGGAUGCAAUGACUCCAGUUCCCCACUCAAAGAAUCUGCCAACUUCUCCAUAUCAAUCGAUACACCAUAACCCUCAUGCUCAUGCUUUCUGGUGUCCAUCUUCUCAUUAAUUGCUCGCUGCAGUAGCAACAAAAUGAAUGAAAUCAGUAAAACAGAAAGAAAACAGGUAGCAUUAAGAACAAUAACCGAAACAGGAGGUGAAGACGUGCAACUAGGAGUUUGGGAAGAGCAAGAGCAAUGAUGAGUCGAAGGAGAUGAUAUUGGUGGCGAAUUAUUUGAAUAUCAAAAAGAUGUUGGAUUAUUUGACCGAGGCUCUGGUCAACAAGAUUAAGAACAAGAGUGUCGAGUAUGUCAGGAAGUAAAGUUAUUUGGAAUUGAAAAUGAUUUUACGCUCGAGGAGGAGGAAGCAGCCAGGAAGGGUGAUGAUAAAGCAUAAGCUUUUUAAAUUUUAAUCCCCAUCAUUAUUUAAUUGAAGUAAUUUUAUGUUUUAUGUUUUACAAUAAUUGCUGGCUGGAUAUUGAUUGAUGUUGAAUUUGAUUAUAUCUGAUCACACUUCAUUACAUUCAAUUUAUAUUUACUAGUGUCUUUUAUAGUUUUUUUUCUUUCUUAUUUAUUUUUUGGCAUUGAUUUAGGGUAAAAUAAUAAUUUUAUGUUUGUGGGUAAAAAAAAUCAUUUGAUCAAUACUCUAUUAAUUCUAUUAACACCGUUAAAACGGCGAUGGACGAGUGCAUGAAAAUGUAUUUUCAAGUAGAAUUCAGCUUUAAAAAAAAUGUGUAUAAAAAAAACACAAGAAAAGAGGUGAUGCAUGGAUGAUUGCUCUUCAUUAAAAGACCAAGCUCUCGUAAUAAGAAAUGAUUUGUGGGCUGAUUUUUUAUUUUUUAUUUUUAGUUUUUUGAGAAUGCCCAUUGGAUUGUUUAAACGUGCGCUUUGCUCCCAUGAUCCUCGAUCAAGGAAUAUAAUAAAACAAUUCCAACCAAUCGUGCACUCUUCGGACAAAUUGAUAAGAGGUCAAGAGUCUUUUUUUUUUUUUUUUUUUAAUAUAGUGGAGCCUAGUAAAGACUAGGACAAACAGAGCAGGAAUGAAAGUCUCAUACAUAUUAUUACAUAACUAAUAUCCAAUCCCCUCCGGAUAAUUAGUCAAGAUUCUUUUUUUAAUACAACAAAACCGAGUUGCUUUCUCUAUAAAAUUGAAUAAAUUGUUUUCAUUUUAAUUUUUCAAUAAAGCAAAAAAUUAGCAACUAGGUGAUCGUGCUCAAACAAUUCAAUAGGCCACAAGUCAGUCCAAAAUUUAUGUCGAGGUUAGGUGACCCAAUUUAAUUAAAAUAAUAAAGCGACAAGUAGACAAUUCUUUUAUUAAACCCGGGCCCCGACUCAUGUGCUAGAUUCCUAUUUUAAAUUUGUCUAUUUUCACUUGUUAAACUGUCUUGCUAUACCAAGAAAGCCCUUCGUAUCUUCCACCUCCUCAAUGAUUUGGGUUCUCUCCAUUGAUGUUCUGAAUACUCAUUGAAAUUGAGUGAGAAAAUUUGUCAGUUCAGCUCAAAAGAUAAGCGUGAGAGAUUAAACAACUACUUGAAAAUACUUUGAUCCUUUAGAUGACAAAUUGACAAUUUAGGUUUUGUUGCACUUUAGAGUACCUCACGUUUUAUAUGUCUCAAAUUCAGGGUUGGACCGACUAUGAGUCAAUUUGACAAUGCUAGAAUUUUUAAAAUAAUUGUUAAUAAUUGUGCUGUAAAAUUAAUUAGUUGCGAAAGUUAAACAUUUAAUAAUUUUAGGUGUCUCUCUCCUGCUUUGCCGAUGUGGGAUUCACCUAGAGUGUUACAAUUUCUUAAUUGAAUAUGGAUAAUUUUAGAUAUUUAUAAUAUAUGUGAAGAUAUAUAUGAAAUUAGUUGUGUAAAGUUAUUCCUUUUCUACUUUUCUAAUUUACCAUAUAAUGGGGUGAUUUUACCAAAAGUAAUUUUUAAAAAAAAAUAUCAAAAUUAAUUUUUAUCUUUUCGAAAUCAAAAUUUUGAGCCUAAAAAACAAUCCCAAAAGGGCUCUAUGACAAACCACAUUUUAGUUGAAAUUUUUAAUUUCAAAAAAAAUGGUUUUGUUGCAAGUGUCAUGUUGUUACAACUGACAUAAAAAGUUUCUAAUAUUUAAAAAAUAAUAGUUUUUUUUUUCUUUUAUUUCUCAACUUUUAUGCUUAUUCAUGCAUCUCCACACGUCAGUGUCGCCUACAACUUUUAGCGUGGAAGACAUCAUCCGUACUCACGCCCUCCUUAUCGAGGGAGCGAGUUCGAAUCCCAGUGGGAGUAGUUCAUUAAGCCGCACCAUAAUGGAAAAGAAGUAGAUUCCUUUUCAAUGAAGGUGUAGUACGUUUCGCCGCGUCAAAAUAAAACCGAUGCCGCGUCAAAAUUAUUUGAUGUCGAGUAGAUUUUUGCUUGACCCUGGUUUAAACUUGACUCCAGCUUGGUGAAGUUCCUUUAGACUGGGAAUGUUCACAUCUUUCAACGCAAUAUCUGAAUGCGACUGGGAUGGCUGAAGACAGAGUAUAAGCAGAUCAACAAAAUGUUUAGCUCUCGAAAAGUUGAUUUCUAGCAAAUUCUCCUGUAUUGGAAGAUAUCCAGCAAUAUUACCCCUGAACCAAAAACAGGAAAUUGUCAUGAAGGAAAAUUCCUCAUACAAGUUCGUUUCAAACAUUGUUGUUUUGGCUAGAUUAAACAAGUCGUUGAGAAUGAACAAUGGAAGCUGAUUUUCUAGCAGCAAAAUCUCAUGCUUCAUAUCAACAUACAAAAAUGAUUUUCCGAAUAUGGGAUCCUCAUCAGUUCUGAAAUUAGGUUGAUAAAACUUCAGAAAGAGCUCAAUGAGAAACACAGCAUCCACUAGAACCAUUUUUAUGAACUCAUCACUCCCAAGAUGAAUUGUUUCAGCAUAACAGUUGCGCAAUUCUGCUUCCCUUGCCUUUAUAAAUCCAAGGAAACUUGCUAUGCGUACCUUAGUUCGUUGAAGAAAGCACUUAAGGUAUCUUUUCUUAUGCUCUUCCAUGGCUUUUAGCUCUUCCUUACCAUGAUGAAAAGGGCCAAUUGAAACCAUUCGCGGAGUAAAAUGACUUGGAUGGGAACACCGCGUGGCCUCAGGAACUCUGUAGAUGGAACACUCUCUGGCUAAGGGAUGCAAUGACUCCAGUUCCCCACUCAAAGAAUCUGCCAACUUCUCCAUAUUAAUCGCGUCAUAACCCUCAUGCUCAUGCUUUCUGGCGUCCAUCUUCUCAUUAAUUGCUGGCUGCAGUAGCAACGAAAUAAAUGAAUGAGAGUGAUGAUAGAGCUACAAACUCUUGAACAAACUUAUUUUGUACAAACUGAUUUGGCAUCAAGUCAUUGGUUGAAUAAAAAUAUAGUAUAAUAAAAACAAAUCAUGUGGACCAAGAGAUAUUUAAUCCAACUAAUUAAAUCAUGCUACAUCAAUUUAUACAAGAGCUUAUAACUAUAUUAUUACUCAAUGAAAUCAGUAAAACAGAACAAAACCGAAACCAGCUAUCUCGAGGACAGUUGCUAACUUAGUUCCCGAAUGAUUAAAGAGAACGAGAAAAGAAAACUCAUUUUGUUUUGCCGAUAGCCUCUGCUACACGUACAUACCCAAACAGCCCACUAAUAUAAUCAACAAAGUCUCCUCGCCCAAAAUAAAAAUAAAUUAUUCCUUAAUAUAAAGGUAUAUACGAGGACAGUCUCUUUUAGUUUAUAUUAUUAAAAGACCAAGUUCUCGUAAUAAGAAAUAAUUUGUGAGCUGAUACAUACAUGUGUGUGUACACAUUGAUUAAAAGAUAUAACAAUUGAUUACAUAUCUAUCAUAAACUUAUUAACACAUCAAAUCAAGUUCUCGUAAAAAUUAAGACAAGCGAAUACUCACAUUUUUAUCUUUGCUUCUUGAAUCAAUUAUGGAUGAUGAAACCAGUAUUAUAUAUGAUCGACCUUGUCGUCCGAACAAAUUGGUCCAUAUAUUUCAUAUAUAUAUAUAUAUAUAUAUAGAAUAAAUUGAUGUUGUACAUUUAUUCCUUUCUUCAGAACAUCACAAUUCUCUUGUCUUUUAUGGAACCUCUCUUUCAAUAAAGUCAGUAACUGUUUUCUUUCUUUACAGGUUCCCAUCUAAUAAGAUGCAUGCUUUAAGCUUCAUAAUUGAAAUCAUCAAAAAUUACAAAACGAAAAAUCAAGGACAAAGAUUGUAUUGGUUGUUAGAGUCUUAGAGAAAUCUCUUUACAUAAAAGUUUUAAGUUGAUUGGUAAGAAUCAAUAAGUAUUAUAGUUUUCCUCAAGUAUUAAAACCAGAACUCGUAGGUAAGCUUAGAGAUAAGAGAAUUUUAAAGUAAGUCAAUAAAUUCAAAUUAAAAUAAAGUUUGUAUGUGGGAGAAUAAACUUGAGAAAUCUCGUUAGUGAAAUAAUUUGGUUCAAGAGUUUAAGCAGAAUCAUAAGGAUCCAAUAAUAGCGUUAAAAUCAAGUCUCAUUAUGAUAAACAAUUUAGUGUAGCCUAAAAUGAAUUACUAAAGUAAAUUCUUGAAGAAAAAAAGCGUCUAAUAUUCUUGAACAUCAUCUUAAGUUAACUAAAACUUAAAGCAGGUUGGUUUGGGUUUCUCUAUGAAAAAAGGUAAAAGUAUUAACAUGUAUCAAGUAUAGUUAUGAAAAUUUACAAUUUCAGAUUUUAAUAUUUAUUUUGCUGAUUUGGCCCCCGGUAACUUUAAAAGUUUAACAUUUUACCCAUUAAUUAGAUAAUCUUUUUAACUUUAACCUUAAAACAUUUUUAUUCUAGCUCCGCCCCUUUUCAUCACUCCACGCAUGCAAAAGUUAUUUAAUACUUCAAAUUUCUCAAAAUUUAUGUUUAUUUAUUCAUGACACAGCCGUUGCUUGUAAGAGUAAUGCUAUACCUUAGAAGCAACAUCAUGGAAACAUUACCAUGUUUUAAUUGGCAUGUACAUUGAUCAUUUGGAACGAUGAACUAUUUAUUCGAUGUGUUUGGAAUUAUUCAUCUAUGAUCAUAUUCAUAUGCCAAGACUUCUGAAAUGUUAAGGCUAAAACAAGAGUGUUACAUGUCCAAAUUUAAGGAAUUAAUUAUGUGGUGUUUGGUUGGGAGAAGAGAAUGUAGGAGAGGAAAGUAAUUUAAAUUCCCUUUUUAUUUCUAUUGUUUGGUUUGACAAAAUAUAUAAGAAUUUAAUUUCCAUUAGAAUUUAAUAUCCAUUAUAAUAUAGAAUUUGAAUUCCAUACUAAGUAGUGAAGAAUUAAAUUCCUCUUAUAUUAGAAACUAAAGUUUCUAAAAUUACCCUUCAACUUUUUAACUUAUUUAAUGUCAUUAAUAAUUAUUAUUUUAUUGAUUUAAUAUUAUAAAUGGACCUCCACCGGAAAGUCACUGGACCACCGUCGGACCUCGCCGGACCACCGAAUCGCCAUUUUAUUAUAUAUAUUAUUACUAAUAUAAAUAGUUUAAUAUUUAAGGUAAAUGAUAAAUUUGUCUAAAAAAAUUAUAAUUAAUUUCCUUAUUAAAUUUUAUAUCAAACCAAACAACAAAAUCUAAUUUCACUACUCUUCUCCAUUCCUUUCUUCUCCCUUCCUUUCCAUUCCACUCUUUUCUUCUCUUCCCUUUUCUUCAAUCAAAACAUGACCUAGUAUUGUUAAAUAUGUAGGUACGAAUGUGAAAUGUGUAACUUAUUGUUAAAACUUAUGUGAUAUCCAACAUACCAUGUUACGAAUUAGCCAUUCUUGCAUGCGCGCUGCCUAACCAAAUUUAAUAGUUAAACAUUUUACCGUUCUACAAUUAGACUCACUGCUGUACCAAAUGAAAUAUCAUGUUCUUUCACAAGUUAGUUGUCAAGAAGCAGCAUUUUUUUUCCUUUAAAAUUAAAGGCUGGGGUCAUGAUUUCCCGCCAAAUUCAAAACCGAAUCCAGCUGUCAAAAAAUGGCCAUCACCUUCAUCAACUCCAAUCUCUUCUCUGUUCCUCAAAACGCCACUUGAUCACAAUAAAGACAUCAUAUACACUUCAUACUUACUUCACUUUCAAUUACACUUAACUUUACAAGAUCAUUUUCCAAUAACUUGCCUUAUAAGAGCUGUUUUUGUCCAAUAUUGGUUCAGCCCGAAACCUAAUGAGAGCUUUUUUAUGCAGAAAGUGGUUUCCUGGUGAAGAUCAAUGUUGGGCUGUCUGCAGAUAGUUUUGGCUAGAUUAAACAAGUCAUUGAGAAUGAACAAUGGAAGCUGAUUUUCUAGCAGCAAAAUCUCAAGCUUGACAUCAUCAUGCAAAAAUGAUUUUCCUAAUAUGGGAUCCUCAUUAGUUCUGAAAUUAGGUUGGUAGAAUUUCAUAAAGAACUCGAUGAUAAACACAACAUCUACUAAAACCAUGGGGGGACCCAAUUAAGGUCCAUAAGGGGUUGCCCAAUUAAGGCCCAACUCCUUCUGAGCCAUUAAUUUUUUUUUUUUAAAUGUACCCAAAGUCCCUUCUCAAAGAGUUAAAUAAAAAAAUUUAGACACAUUUUGUAUAUAACAAAAGACUUGUAGUUUAAUGGUAAGAGUGUUAUUUGAUGGUUUUAAAGUCUUGAUUUAAAUCCCAAUAACCAUAUUGUUUUGUUUUUUUUUAUAAAUAUUUUGUGAAAAAUACUUAGAAAAAUUAUACUUUCACGCAUUUAAAAUAAAUAAUUUAUUACAAUUAUUAUUUAGAAUUUAAAAGAAAGUAAUGAAAUUUGAGUUUAUGAGACUUAAAAUAUUAUUCAAGUGAGCGUUAAAAAAAAUCUCAAAUAAAAUAAAAUAAUUUUAACUAAACCCCUAAUUUAAGUGUCUGGAUCUCCCACUGACUAAAACCAUUUUUAUGAACUCAUCAGUCUCAAGAUGAAUUGUUUCAGCAUAACAGUUUCGCAAUUCUGCUUCCCUCGCCUUUAUGAUUCCCCACUCAAAGAAUCUGCCAACCUCUCCAUAUCAAUCGAUACAUCACAACGCUCACGCUCACGCUUCCUGGCAUCCAUCUUCUUAUUAAUUGCUCGCUGCGGUGGCAACAAAAUGUAUGAAAUCAGUAAAAUAGAAAGAAAACAAGUAGCAUUAAGAACUGUUUGAUAAUGAGAAAAACUCUGUUUGGUUGUAGAGAAAGUGAGAAAGAAAGUGAUGUAAAAUGAAGAAGAAAGUAAACUUUUUGUAUUAUUGAGUUUUUGGAAGCUAACAAAAUAACAACUAACUAAUGAUAUUUAUGCAUGCUAAUAAUACAUGAGUUUGUUAUGGAAUCUAUCUAGAAGAUUCAUACAGCUAACAGCUACUGAAUCUGUUUGUAACUAACUAUCCACAUCAGCAUAACUAACAUUUGUUUUUUGAGAACUUGAGAAGGUCUAUUGGACUGUUUAAACUUGUUCAGUUUAGUAAUAGAACAAUUCCAACCAAUCGUGCACUCGUCGGAUAACAAAACCGAGUUGCUUUCUUUUAAAAUUGAAUAAUUUGUUUUCAUCUUAUUUUUUUCAAUAAAGCAAAAAAUUAGCAAUCGCGUUCAAAUAAUCCAAUAGGCCACAAACACUCCAAAGUUUCUGUUGAGGCUGGGUGACAGUGACACGAUUUAUUAAAACCGGGCCCCGGCUCAUGAGCCUGUUUCUGUACUUGAUCAUAUUUUAAUGAAGAGUGUGUAAGAAAAUGAAUCCUGUUUCCUAUAUUAAAUUAGUCUAUUCCACUGGUGUAACUGUCUGGCUAUACCAAGAAAGCCUUUCGUAUCUUCCAUCUCUUCAAUGAUUUGGGGUCUCUCCAUUGGUGUUCUAAAUACUCAUUGAAAUUGAGUGGGAAAAUUUGUCAGUUCAGCUCAAAAAAUAUGUGCAUGUAUUGAUGGUGGUGACAUAUAUAGUAGAUAAGUGUGACAGUUUACACAACUACUUGAAAAUGCUUUGAUCCUUUAGAUGACAAUCUAGGUUUUGUUGCACUUUUUGACCGUGGUAGAAAUUGUCACUAAUAUUGUGAUAUAUCUUUUAUGCCAUAAGUACCUCACAUUUAUAUGUCUCAAAUUCAGGGUUAGGCCGACUAUGGGCCAAUUAGGUAAUGUUAUAACUUUUAAAAUAAUUAAUAUUAAUUGUGUUGUAAAAUUAAUCAGCUACAAAAGUUAAACAUUUGUUAAAAAUUUAUUUUUAAAAGUACUGUGAGUUAUAAAAUCAAUCAUAUGUAUUUAGUAAGAAUCUUAUUAUAAUACAAAUGACAAAAAUAAACAUAAUAUUAAAUAAAAUUUAUUUGCAUAUUUAUAAACAAGUAAUUUUUUUUAGUGUUAGUGUAUAUAUAAUAAUUGAUAACUGAAAUAAAUAUUUUUAUUUUAUUAAGUUUAAUUCUCAUUUUGUUAUCUUAAUAUAAUUGGUAAUGAUGAUAAUCUCUUUAAAUUUAAUGAUUUUGUUUCCCAAUUGAAUAUGAAUAAUUUUGGAUAUUUAUAAUAUAUGUAAAAAUGUAUAUGAAAUUGUAUUAGAUGUUUGUUAAAAAAAAAAAGAACUUUUGACGGUUAAAUAAGUUAUUUUGCUUGUAGCAAAUCUUAAAUUUUGGAUUUUUGGAAGUAAAUGUUAAAAAGUUUUUUUUAAAUAUUAAAAUAUCUAAAAUAUCAUUUAUUUAAUUGACAAUCUUUUUCAUUCAUUUUUUUGUCUGUUGAAGAAAUUUUAUAAUUUUUAAUAAAAACUCUCAUUGACAACCAAACAAAUAAACUAUCAUUUGUCAGUACGCCCACCUUCAUUAACGAGGAACGGAGAUCGAAACUUAGAAUCCCGGUAGGAGUAGUUCAUUUGACCGUACCGUAGUAGAAUUAGAAGUAGAUUCCUUUUCAAUGUAGGAGCAGUGCAUUUGGCCGCCCCAUAAUAAAAGCGAUACCAGUAGUUUUCUGAUUAAUAAAAUAUCAAUAUUUUUAUAAUUGUAAUUAAAAAUGAAAAGGACUGGUGAAUUUUCAGUAUAACUAAUCAUUUGAGGAGUAUAGAAUCAUUCAAUUAUGAUACAGACAGUGUUUAGGAGAUGAAAGAUUCAUUAUAAAUUUAUAAAUCCAAGACUAGUCUAAAAUCGCCCACCACAUUCCAUCAAUUUAUAUAACUACAUAUUUUAUUAUUUAUUGGAUAAAAAAUUUCAUAAUUAGUAAAAUUAUUAUAAUUAAAUACCAUCCAAUAGAUGAAUGCCAUAUGAAUUGGGAUCUAAAAAUUAAAAUCCCUAACCUUAUUGAUUUGUAAAUUAAAAUAUAGGGAUUUCUUUCAAUCGAAGGUCUGCCGAAACUAAAAAAAUGAUAACCACUGAAAUGAGACCCAGCUACAGUCAUAUAUUUUCGAAGCUACUGAAGCAGAUAAAAUAAUCAAAGCCAGCAUAGGACCACCUAAUAGAAGACAAGUUCGUUCACAUGGACCCGUUAAAAUUGAACCAAUAACAGCACCAUUAAUCUGGUUGCAGUUGUAACAUUAAUGUUAGCUGAGUGAUUUUUCCAACAAGUUAGUUGUCGAUAAAGAACAGCUUUAGUUUAGGAUGAUGAUUUCCCGCCAAAUUGAAACCCUAAUCCAACUGUCAAAAACCGCCCACCACAUUCACCAACUCCACACUCUAUUCCUCAAAACAUCACUCGAUCACAACACGUACAUAAUCUCACGCUUCAUUCUCACUUCACUUUCAAUCUCACUCCACUUUACGAGAUCCUUAUUCAAUAACUUGCCCGUCACGCCACCACUUUUUGCUUACAAUACCCUUAUAAGAGCGUACACGAAAACCUCUUGUUCGAUCGAAUCAAUCAAACUGUUUGAUGAAAUGCUAAAAACAGGGCUUACACCAGAUAAUUUUACGUGCCCUUCUGUUGUAAAAGCUUGUGGUCGGUGUCUAAUGAUUGGAGUUGGUGGGUCAGUGCAUUCGUUGAUUCCUAAAGUGGGUUUGGAUUCGGAUAAAUAUAUUGGGAAUACCCUUUUGAGGAUGUAUGCUGCCUGUAAGGAAAUUGAUUUUGGGAAAGCACUGUUCGAUGAAAUGCCUGAGAGAGAUGUGGUUUCUUGGAGUUCUAUGAUUGCGGCUUUUGUUACUUGGUAUGCUUCUUCAAUGAUUUGAUUUUAAUUGUUUAUGUGUCAUUGUUACUUGUCGUGGAUUUAAAAAAUAAAAUAAAAUAAAAAACCGUUAAUGUAAAUAAAAGCCAAAUAAUUGCUGCAUGAAGUUCAUUAGUUAAUGAGUUUGUCUAGUUUCGGUGCUUGUUUUCAUGUGAAUUUUGUUGUGCACGGAAUGCGGAAUCAAGUGCACCAAAUAAUUACUGAAAAAUAAAAGACACAAGAAUUACGUGGUUCGGUAAUUAAACCUACAUCCAUAGAGGCAAGAAGGAAUAAUUGUUCUUUGAAGAAAGCAUGGAUACCUUUGUUCUUUGAAGAAAGCAUUUUAGGUACCUUUGUUUAUGCUCUUCCAUGGCUUUUAGCUCUUCCUUACCAUGAUGGAAAGGGCCAAUUGAAACCAUUUGUGGAGUGUAUUGACUUGGAUUUAAACACCGCCUGGGCUCGGGCAUUCUGUAGAUGGAACACUUUGUAGACAAGGGAGGCAGGGUCUCCAACUUCCCACUCAAAGAAUCGGCUAACUUCUUCAUAUCAAUCGGCACAUGCUCGUUCUCGUCCUCAUGCGCCCUGUCAUCCAUAUAUAUUCAAUCAGUUGCUAAUGGAAGAAUAAUGAAAUAAAUGACAUUAGUAUGGAAAAUUCUUGGUGUGUUUCAGAACCAUUGCUCCUAUUGCAAUCACUCUUUGUCUAGUAUAUUUUUCAAUUAAUAAAGUCAGUAAGUGUUAUCUUUCUUUAUUGGUUCUCAUGUAAUAAGAACAAAGAUUAUAUUGGUUGCUAGAGUCUUAGAGAAAUCUGUUGACACAAAAAUUUAACUUGAGAGUCAAUAAGUAUUAAUUAAACAAUUAAUGGGUCCCCUAACGUACAAAAUUCAGAGCAUGUAGAUGAGCCGUGAGACAAGAGAAUUCAAAAGCAAGCCAAUAAAUUCAACUUUGAAUUCUUGUUACAGAAAUAACAUAGUUUCAAAAGCUUAAGCAUAAUAAUAAGGAUCCAAUAAUAGUAUUAAAGUAAAGUCUUACAACGAAUUUACUGCAAUGAGCAAUUUAGCAUAGCCUAAAAUGAAUUACUACCAUAAAUUCCUGAGGAAAAAACCGUGUAAUAUUCUUGAACCUCAUCUCAAGUUAAUUAAUUUAAAACUUAAAGCAGAUUCGUUUCGGCUUCUCAAUGAAAAAAAGGUGAAAGCAUAAACAUGUUUUAAGUAUUAUCGUCGAUACUUUCAUCCAUGGGGAAGCUGUCCCAUGGAAAACAGAGGCCCUGCCCUGCUGUUGUAUGUCCAAAAACAAUGAUUAAACAUAAUUAUGUAAAUUUACAAUUUCAGAUUUUAAAAUAUUUAUUUUUCUGUUUAGCUCUUACAACUUUAAAAGUUUAACAUUUUACCCCAAUAAUUAAAUACUCUUUUUCAACUUUAACCCAAAGAGAUUUACCUCUACGACAUUUGAUACCCCCUAAAUGUUUUAUGAAGCACAGCGCUUCCUUGUAAUCGUGUCUUUUACUUGGCAGAGAUAUGUAUUGAAUUUUAUUGCUCCGCACAGCUGCUUUGAAUCGAAGGCCACUUCAAAUUCCUUAAUAUGGGGUCCUUUUCAAUAGAAGCUGGUCUUUAUCCGUCCGAUGGGACAGUAAAUAAUCAAAUUUUCAUCACUGUGCUGGGCCACCACACGCUUUUGCCUUUUCUUUCAACUUUCCAGGACCCAUGCUUUUAUGAUUGCUUGACUUAUCUUGCUUAUGUUUUAUCAUUAUGUGCUUGACUUGACUUGGGGCUUACUAUAUACAAUUACUCUCUCAUUUCACAGUAAAAGCUCUAACUUGAUUAUAAAUUUUAUCAAUAAAUCAACUAAAUAAUUAUUACGAAUUGUAGAAUGAAUAGAAGUACUGGUUAUUCAAAUGUUAAAAUCUUUCAUAGAAUCGCAUUGCUACAUUAUCACAUUAUUGCCUUUCUUUUUUAUCUGCCGUGCCAUCCUCCAUUACUGAUGUUAGCUAGGUGACACAAUUUAAAAACUGAGGUGACAAGUAGACAAUAUAAAGGUGCUUGACUUGUUGGAAAGGCGAGUGAAAAUAGCAACAGUAACCAGAGAAAUCAACUGCUCUUAUUUUUUAUACAUUCUGUGGGUGAGCUAAACAAAACAGAGGCACUAGCAAGCAAUACAAAUGAAAUGCUUCUAAAAAACACAAAAAUUGAUCACAAACAGUAGAAAUUAAUAAAUCUACAAUGCAAUUAGAGAAGAAACUGUUUGCGUGGCUGUGAGUAGAAGGAGAAUAACAGCUGCAAUUACGGAGAUAGACGCCCAUGGCGUGUUGAAAUAAUUUCGCUUCAAGGUUGCCUUCCAUUUGUGCCAUGGUAAUUUGCGAUAGGCCUGUAAAUUAGUCACAACACCAGAAUAUUGGAAAUUAUAACUAUUUAACGUACAGUCGGGAUCAAGGUUUCCAAAAACAGUUGGAACAGUUUCAGUAUUCCCUAGCCUAAUAACUUCAUUUUGAACGAGCAAUUCUGCAUCUUUCGGACAGCUGAUGAGACAAGCCAUCAUUAUAAUGUAAUCAUUAAAAUAUCCGUCGUAGCCAUGCAUACUCUCGAAGGCUAGAAGAUUUCUGUACGCACGCUCUGUGUUAUCAUACACCUUGAAAAAUGGAAUUUCCAGAAUUCCUUGAUUAAAAUUGAUGUCGAGUAGGCUUUUGGUUGACCCCGCAGCUGGUUUAAACUUGACUCCGGCUUCGUGAAGUUCCUCCACACUUGGUAUGUUUUGAUCUUUCAACGUAAUUUGAGCACGUGACUGGGAUGGCUGAAGACAGAGUAUAGUCAGGUCGAGAAAAUGCUCAGCUUUGGAAAAGUGGAUUUCUAGCGAACUCUCGUCCAGUGGAAGAAAUACAAGUACUUGACUCCUGAACCAAAAACAUGUAAUUUUGACAAAGGAAAUAUUCUCAUAAAAGGCAUCUUCAUCGGUUACUGUUUUGGCUAGAUCAAACAAGUCAUUGAGAAUGAAUAAUGGAGGCUGAUUUUCUAGCAGCAAAAAGUCGUGCCAUAUUCUUUUACGCAAUUGGGGUUUUCUAAAAAUGCGAUCAUCAUCAGUUGUUAACUUACGUUUAUAAAAUCUCAGAAAGAACUCAAUGAGAAAGACAGCAUCCACUAAAACCAUCGCUACGAACUCAUUACUUCCAAGAUUACGAAUGGUUUCUGCAUAACAAUUGCGCAGUUUUGUUUCCCUUUCCUUUAUAAAAGAGAGGAAACGUUCCAUGCGCACCUUAGUCCGUUGAAGAAAGUAUUUUAGGUACCUUUGUUUAUGCUCUUCCGAGGCUUUUAGCUCUUCCUUACCAUGACGAAAAGGGCCAAUUGAAACCAUUCGCGGAGUAAAAUGACUUGGAUUUGAACACCGCGUGGGCUCAGCAACUCUAUAGAUGGAACAAUCUUUAGACAAGUGACGCAGGGUCUCCAACUUCCCACUCAAAGUAUCUGCUAACUUCUCCAUAUCAAUCGAAACAUCCUCACUGUCAUCCAUAAACAACAUGGAAAAUAUGCACAUCAGGGAGCAAUUUAGUAGAUCAGAUCAGCUCAUUAUUGGCAAUGGACAAGGUCUGAAUAUAACUCAUAUUGGUGAUGCAUUUCUCACUUUUAAAAGUUCAAAUGCCAAACACAAACACACGCCUAUAGCAUUAAAAGAUAUAUUGCUUGUUCCUUCAAUUACUAAGAAUCUUUUGAGCAUUUCUAAACUCAUUGCUGAUAAUAACUUGUCUGUUGAAUUUCUUGGAAAUAUCUGUGUUCUUAAGGAUACUCUGAAGGGGCAAGUAUUGAUGCAAGGUGUUGUGAUGUGAAGCAAAUCUGUUUGUGAAAACGUCAGCUGAUGCUGCGUUUUGGAAAGUCAAACUCGUAUCUCCUGGAACGACAUGUAUGAAGGUCGUUUUGGUUAAGUGAUGCACGAGAGUUUCACGUGCAUGGAUAAGUUGCGUUCUUGGUUCGUUAGAAUCAGUUAACUCACAUGACUGUCACGUGGGUUUCUGGGUUGGUUGCUGAUUCGUUAACAAGCUGUUAUAUACAGCUGAUUCUGGCAACAGAGAAAAAAGAAGAGAGAGCUAUUGUGAGUUGAGAAGAUUAAUAACAAAAGGCUUCUUGAGAGACUCUGUAACAAGCUUGAUGAACUCUCUGUAACUCCUUUAAACAAUCAAUACAAUUGGGUUCUGUUUCUCCCGUGGAUGUAAGCUAGACUGAAGCUAGCUGAACCACGUUAAUUCUUGUCCUUUUCUUUAAUUCUUUCAGUUCUAAUAAUCUGUGUGUAUUCUACUGGAUUGAUUCUUGGUACAUCUUGUUUGUUUGGGUGUGAUCUUGGGAAGUGUUUUGAGUUGAUUGGGAUAGUUAGUCACUCUUAAACACUACACAAGGCCUUACUGAGAGAGGAUUAUACAGGCUGUUAAUAAACUCCUCUUCUUCAAAAUCUCAGUCAUCUUCUUCUUUUAUUUCCUAUAUGUCUUCAAAUAAACCACUUUCAAUGUUGUCCUUUUAUCAUGUUGAUUCUGCUAGUCAUACUGAUACUGUCAGUGAAACUGCAAAUUUUAAAACUUGUUAUCAGACUGCUGUAUCACAUUCUGCUAAUUCAAUCAAUAAAGCUUUACUUUUUCAUAGAAGAUUUGGCCAUCCCAGUACUCAAGUGCUGUUACAUAUGCUCAAAACUGACAAAUCCAUCUCAGUUCCUACAUAUCAAAUUCAUCAAUUACAUCAAACAACAUGUGAAGCAUGUCAAAUGGGCAAGGUUCAUAGACUUUAUUUUCCCUGCACAGAAACUAAAACUACCCAAAUUCUUGAGCUCAUAUACACAGACUUGUGGGGACCUUCACCUAAUCUAUCUAGAGAUGGUUACCAAUAUUAUAUAAGUUUUGUGGAUGAUUUCAGUAGAUACACCUGGAUAUAUCCUUUAAAAUUUAAGUCAGAUGCAUUAGAAGUUUUCAAACUCUUCAAAUUGCAAGUGGAAAACCAGUUUACCACCACCAUUAAAACUCUGCAAUCUGACUGGGGAGGGGAGUAUAGACCUUUUACAGAAUUUCUAAACCAAUCUAGUAUUAUCUUUAGGCAUUCCUGACCUUAUACACAUCAUCAAAAUGGAUUGGUUGAGAGGAAACACAGACAUAUUGUAGAAUCAGGAUUAACACUUCUUGCUCAAGCUCAUUUACCUUUCCAAUUCUGGUGGGAUGCUUUCCAUACAGCAGUAUACCUUAUUAAUAGAUUGCCAUAACCUAUUCUAAAACUUUUGACCCCAUAUGAAAAGAUUUUCAAGCAUAAGCCUAAUUAUAAUAUGCUCAGAUGCUUUGGCUGCACAUGUUACCCUUAUUUGAGAGAUUAUAACAAAUAUAAAUUUGCUUAUUAUUCUAGCAAAUGUGUAUUCAUUGGUUAUAGUCCAUCACAUAAGGGAUAUAAGUGUGUACAUGCUUCAGGCAAAAUUUAUAUUGCCAGACAUGUUGUCUUUGAUGAGUUCACAUUUCCAUAUACCACAGAUUCUGUAUUCCUCAAACAUUCAGCCUCUGAUUCUCAGCCUUCACUUUUUAUUACAUCUCAACAAGUUCAUCAUCUUUCCACUUUACCUAUCAUACCAAUCUUUCUUAAUGACAACACUAAUGAUCCAAUCUCAGUGAAUUCAGAAAGCAUUGGUACAGGCACUUCAGUUCAUCCUGCAAAGCAAGAAGUUAAUCCAGAAUCACAGCAAGGUACAAUAAGUAACUCUUCACCUAUUCUCAACUAUCCAUCUCUAUGUCAUGAACCUGUAUCUAAUUCAUCAUUACCUCAAACUCUCAACUCCCCUAAACAACAACCUAAUAAUCCCAUUACACACUCUCAUACACCAUAAAAUACACACCAUAUGAUAACUAGGAGCAAAGCAGGUAUCUUUAAGCCAAAAGUGUAUAUUGCUGAUCUUGUUCACAAAGAACCAGACAUUGUACAAGAGGCAUUAAAUGACUCAAAAUGGCUGCAAGCCAUGAAGGAGGAGUAUGAUGCCUUAAUCAGUAAUGAUACAUGGGUAUUGGUUCCAAGACAAGCUAAUCAACAAGUUGUUGAGAAUAAAUGGAUUUACAGAAUCAAAUACAAUACUGAUGGAAGUGUUGCUAAAUACAAGGCAUGGCUGGUUGCUAAAGGCUUCCAACAAAUAGCAGGUGUAAACUAUUUUGAAACUUUCAGUCAUGUUAUUAAACCAGCAACUGUCAGAGCAGUGUUGAGCUUAGCAAUGAUGAAUCAGUGGAAAGUAAGGCAAGUUGAUGUAAAUAAUGCAUUCCUUAAUGGAAAAUUAAAAGAAUAGGUGUUUAUGUGUCAACCUGAAGGAUUUGUUGAUAAUCAGAAACACAAUUAUGUGUGUAAGCUACAUAAGAGCUUGUAUAGACUCAAACAAGCUUCAAGAGCUCGGUAUGACAAGCUGAAAAAUUAUCUGCUGCAGUGGGAUUUUGCUAAUACCAGUUCAAAUUCUUCUUUGUUUAUUAGAAGAAGUUCAAAUUCAUUGAUUUUAAUACUCAUAUAUGUGGAUGACAUCGUGAUUACAGGACCAAACACUACUGAAUUGGAAAGAUUUAUAGUUCAGUUUAAUACAACCUUUGCUUUGAAAGACCUUGGAAUUUUAUCAUACUUUCUUAGAGUUGAGGUGUUAUAUGACGCAGGCUGCAUUUAUUUGUCACAAAAGAAAUAUGUGAGAGACUUUGAUGGUUGUCGAAGCCAACAAAAAUAAAUACCUACUCUAAAUAAAUUGUGUAUAGUGAUUGAGCAGGGUCAUGUCCACAAAGAUCGAUAAUUAUUUAAAUCCUUUUGAAACGUAAAACGUAAAAUAAGGGAAUUGUUGACAAUAAUAAAAAUCAAAUUAAAAUAAUAAGAAUGCAAAUUAAAGUUGUAAUUCAAAUUGGAGAAAGCUCUGGUUGAAGGAAUUAACUUAGCUUGAUUCGACUACUGAUCAUUGAUUCAAAUAUAAAUUAUUAUUACUUAUGAAUAGACCGGUUAUAGCUACUGAGACCCUCUAAUAGCCAAUCUCUCCUUAACUAGUCGAUAACUAAGGUAUGACCGUUGGUUAUUUUUCUAAUCAAUAGACAACCCUAGAUACGAUCAUAUGAUUUAAUCAAUUGACAGCCUGAAAAACCAGAGAGACCCAAAUCCUAAUCAACAAACACAUACAAUGGUUCCUGGGUAUUGGUUCCAAGACAAGCUAAUCAACAAGUUGUUGAGAAUAAAUGGAUUUACAGAAUCAAAUACAAUACUGAUGGAAGUGUUGCUAAAUACAAGGCAUGGCUGGUUGCUAAAGGCUUCCAACAAAUAGCAGGUGUAAACUAUUUUGAAACUUUCAGUCAUGUUAUUAAACCAGCAACUGUCAGAGCAGUGUUGAGCUUAGCAAUGAUGAAUCAGUGGAAAGUAAGGCAAGUUGAUGUAAAUAAUGCAUUCCUUAAUGGAAAAUUAAAAGAAUAGGUGUUUAUGUGUCAACCUGAAGGAUUUGUUGAUAAUCAGAAACACAAUUAUGUGUGUAAGCUACAUAAGAGCUUGUAUAGACUCAAACAAGCUUCAAGAGCUCGGUAUGACAAGCUGAAAAAUUAUCUGCUGCAGUGGGAUUUUGCUAAUACCAGUUCAAAUUCUUCUUUGUUUAUUAGAAGAAGUUCAAAUUCAUUGAUUUUAAUACUCAUAUAUGUGGAUGACAUCGUGAUUACAGGACCAAACACUACUGAAUUGGAAAGAUUUAUAGUUCAGUUUAAUACAACCUUUGCUUUGAAAGACCUUGGAAUUUUAUCAUACUUUCUUAGAGUUGAGGUGUUAUAUGACGCAGGCUGCAUUUAUUUGUCACAAAAGAAAUAUGUGAGAGACUUGUUGUCCAAGGUUGAAAUGAUAAACUGCAAAGGAAUUGAUACUCCUAUGAGUACUGGAACAAAGCUGCAGAAAGUUGUACAAGGAGAGCUUGGUUAUUAUCUUGAGGAUCCUUCACACUAUAGGAGCAUAGUUGAGGGAAUGCAAUAUCUAAUAUUAACCAGACCAGAAAUUGCAUUUGCUGUCAACAAACUUAGUCAGUAUGUUUCUGCUCAUACUCUACAAUAUCUAAUGGCCUCUAAGCGAGUAUUGAGGUAUCUGAAAUCCACUCAAGACUAUGGUUUGAAAUUUACAAGAGAAGGAAGCAUGCAGCUCACUGGUUUUACAGAUGCAGACUGGGUAUGUGAUCUAAAUGGCAGGAAAUCAAUUGAUGCUUAUUGCAUCUAUUUGGGGAAUAAUUUGAUUUCAUGGUCUUCAAAGAAGCAAUCUGUGGUAAUAAGAUCUAGUGCUGAGAGUAAGUAUAGAGCAUUGGCAGCAGCAAGUGCUGAACUUACUUGGCUGCAAUAUUUGUUUACUGAACUGGGGAUUAAUUGCACAGAUAAACCAACAAUUUGGUGUGACAAUGUCAGUGCUACUGAGCUUGCAAGAAAUCCGGUGUACCAUUCAAGAACCAAGUAUAUUGAAAUAUAUAUGCAUUUUAUUCGCAAUAAAGUAGUUGCAGGAGAGCUCAGAAUUCAAUAUGUUCCAAGUGAAGAACAAGUUGCUGAUAUAAUGACCAAGCCCUUAUCGUUUGUAAAAUUCAACUACUUAAGAUCCAAACUCAACGCUCAUCUAUGUCUGCUGAGUUUGAGAGGGGCUGUGAAGAUAGCUCAUUAUGGAGAAAGAAGUAAUGAAAAGCAGAGGAAGGAAAAGCUUAAGCUGAAACGUGAUGCAGAGGAUAGUAGCAGUAAAGCUAUCAGCUCAGAUGCCAACUCAGCAAAGUUAGUUUCAUAUAGUUAGAAAAUACAAAACGUAUUGCAAUGAGUGUUAGCUGAUUGCUUUGUUAAUUAGUUACAUUGAUUGUAAUUAAGGUUGAUGGAAGUAUAAAUACUCAGCUCAUAAUACUCUGUUAUCAAGGAAAAAUAAUAAAAUUCAAUUUAUGAUUAAUCCAGAACUCCUACUCACUAUUUUCUCUAGAAACAAACAACUCCUUUCAUAAUUUUUUCAAUAUCGAGCUCCUGAGGUGUUGCUUUUAUCUGAGAUUUAUGGACCUGAAGUUGAUAUGUGGGCGAUGGGUGCUAUUAUGUUCGAGAUGUUGAGUUUCGGGAUUCACUUUCCGGGGAAAAGCUCAGCUGAUCAGAUUUACAAAAUCUGCCAACUGAUUGGAAGCCCUACUAAGGACUCUUGGCCUCUUGGAAUUCAACUCGCGAGCAAUCUCAAUUGGAAAUUCCCGCAGAUGGGUGGUGUGAAUCUGCUAGCAGUGAUGCCAUCAGCUUGAUUUCGUGGCUCUGUUCCUAGAAUCCCUACAUGAGGCCGACCGCUGCGGAAGCUUUACAACAUCCUUCUGAAGUUGCUAUUUUGUUCCUCGAUCACGGCCGCUUCUUUACAAUAAUUUUGAAACUGUCGCGUUUCAUGUUGCCACAGUCGCAAUGCGCGGACGUUCUUGACAUAUUCUUAGGAACCGAAUGAUGAGCAAUUAUGUUCAUGUUUCUGUUGGGGAAAAAUCAGGUUUUUAAAUUUUUAUAAAACCUUUUAAGAUAGUUCUCAUAUAAUAUAUAAGAAUUUUAUUCUAGAAAUCGAACCUUGAAAAUUCGAUAUGGCUUUUUUCGUUGAAGUGAUUUAGGCUCCUAGAUCACGAUCCGCCAUCACCACUCCUGUUAGAUCACAAUCCGUCACCACCACGCUUAUUAGAUCACGAACUGUCACCAAUGAUCUUCCAGGUUAUGACUCAGGUUCGAUCUACACUUGACGUGUGGGCGCCUUUAUCACUACUAAAGCAACUAGCACGAGAAAAUUUUUCUCUCAACAAUAGAGAAAAAAAUCUUAUUCUCUGAUCUGUAUAAAGUGGCUACCCCUUUUUUUUUGAGAAAAUAAGCCUUUUAUAUCUCCCUUUAGUGAAAACCCUAGACUCCAAAUAAUCAAAAAACAAAACUUACGUUACUUGCUUUUUCUAUAGGGGACCUACCUUGUAAAAUAACAUAAGGCCCCUUACACACAAGCUAAUUAAAUGGAGCCUCCCACUAAAUGAUAUAUUUAGACUUUUGACCCAAAUAGCUAGUUAUCUUACUUAUUAGUCCAGUAGUGGUGCAGUCAAUUAAAUGAGCUAACCCGGGGAUCAUUUGGGAACAUAUAAUAGUGGCUACAAUAAUUAGGCCUGUAAUUAAACUAGCCCAAUUAUUUAAUUCCAAAUCUACUCCACUAAAAGAUUGGAACUGACUUCCAUAAUUGUAUGCUCGAAUAAUAAUUCGUCCCAAGCCACAUUGAUUUCUUUACUGCACAAUCCUUUGUACCACAUCGUUAAUUAAAUUGAUAUCUCAACUGUCCAAUCAAUUUAAUAACAUCCUGCUGUACCGUACAUCCGCCUUGGCCGUACAGCAGUAUGUGAAACAACCUCCUGGUUUUGAAAAUGAAAAAUUUUCAGAUCAUGUGUAUAAGUUAUGCAAGGCUUUGUAUGGUUUAAAACAAGCACCUAGAGCUUGGUAUGAUAGGCUUAAAAAUUUCUUGUUGGAUAAUGAUUUUUCGAUGGGAAAAGCCGACACAACUCUUUUUGUUAAGCAUAAGAACCAAGACAUACUUAUUGUUCAAAUUUAUAUUGAUGAUAUUAUUUUUGGUUCUACUAAUGAGUUGUUGUGUAAAGAUUUUUUAUCAUGUAUGAGCCAAGAGUUUGAGAUGAGUAUGAUGGGAGAGUUGAAGUACUUCCUUGGACUUCAAAUCAAACAAAACGAGGAAGGAAUUUUCAUAAACCAAGCUAAGUACGUGAAAGAUCUACUCAAAAGAUUUGGCUAUGAUAAUGGAACGGCAAAAAGCACUCUUAUGAGUACUACCAUCAAGCUGGACAAAGAUGAGAAAGGUAAUGAAGUUGAUAUCAAGACAUAUCGAGGUAUGAUCGGAUCCUUACUCUACUUGACUGCUAGUAGGCCUGAUAUUAUGUUUAGUGUUUGCUUGUGUGCUAGAUUUCAAUCUUGUCCUAAAGAGUCUCACAUGCUUGCUGUCAAACGCAUUUUUCGAUAUUUAAUUGGCACUAUUAUGUACGGUACAGCAGUAGAUUAUGUACGGUACAGCAGNNNNNNNNNNNNNNNNNNNNNNNNNNNNNNNNNNNNNNNNNNNNNNNNNNNNNNNNNNNNNNNNNNNNNNNNNNNNNNNNNNNNNNNNNNNNNNNNNNNNNNNNNNNNNNNNNNNNNNNNNNNNNNNNNNUUCUAAUAUUAAUUGAAUCAUCAAAUUUUUAUCAUUAUGUGCUUGACUUAUUGUGAAAACAGCAAAAGUAAGUACAGAAAUCAGCUGCUCUUAUUUCUUUUAUACACGUACUGUGGUUGAGCUAAACAGAAACACUCACUGGUAAUACAAGUGAAAUCCUUCAAAGAAAAUAAUACAUAAUAAACUGUAAAAGUGAAUCUACAAUGCGAUGAGGGAACAAACUGUUUGUAUGAAUGUUAGCACAAGAAGAAUAACAGCUGCAAUUACAGAGAUAGACGCCCAUGGAGUGCUGAAAUAAUUUUGCAUCAAGGUUGCCUUCCACUUGUGCCAUGGUAAUUUGCAAUAGGCCUGUAGAUCAGCAACAACACCAGAAUAUUGGAAAUCAUAAUAAUCUAUCGCACAUCCUUUAUUAAGGUUGUCAAAUACAGUUCGAACUGCUUCAACAUCCCCCAACCCAAAUAUUUUGUUCUGAACGAGUAAUUCCGCAUCUUUUGGAGUGCUGACAAGAUAAUUCAUCAUUACAAUAUAGUCAUUAAAAUGUCUAGUGUAGUAAUGCAUGCUCUCGAAAGCCAGAAGAUUUCUGUACAAAUGCUCUGUGGAAUCAUACACCGUUAAAAAUGGAAUUUCUAGAAUUCCCUCAUUAAAUUUGAUGUCGAGUAGAUUUUUGCUUGACCCUGGUUCAAACUUGACUCCAGCUUGGUGAAGUUCCUUUACACUGGGAAUGUUUCGAUCAUUCAACGCACUAUCUGCAGGCGACUGGGAUGGCUGAAGACAGAGUAUGAGCAGAUCAACAAAAUGUUUAGCUUUCGGAAAGUUGAUUUCUAGCAAAUUCUCCUGUAUUGGAAUAGAUUCAAUCAUAUCAGUCCUGAUCCAAAGACAGGUAAUUGUCAUGAAGGAAAUUUCCUCAUACAAGUUCGUUUCAAACAUUGCUGUUUUGGCUAGAUUAAACAAGUCGUUGGGAAUGAACAAUGGAAGCUGAUUUUCUAGCAGCAAAAUCUCUAGCUUCACAUCAUCAUACAAAAAUGAUUUUCCGAAUAUGGGAUCCUCAUCCGUUAUGGGAUCCUCAUCCGUUAUGAGAUCAAGUUCAUAAUGCUUCAGAAAGAGCUCAAUGAGAAACACAGCAUCCACUAAAACCAUUUUUAUGAACUCAUCACUCCCAAGAUGAAUUGCUUCAGCAUAACAGUUACGCAAUUCUGCUUCCCUUGCCUUUAUAAAUCCAAGGAAACGCACUUAAGGUAUCUUUUCACCAUGAUGAAAAGGGCCAAUUGAAACCAUUCGCGGAGUAAAAUGACUUGGAUGGGAACACCGCGUGGCCUCAGGAACUCUGUAGAUGGAAUACUCUCUGGCUAAGGGAUGCAAUGACUCCAGUUCCCCUCUCAAAGAAUCUGCCAACUUCUCCAUAUCAAUCGAAACAUCAUAAACCUCAUGCUCAUGCUUUCUGGCGUCCAUCUUCUCAUUAAUUGCUCGCUGCAGUAGCAACAAAAUAAAUGAAAUCAGUAAAACAGAAAGAAAGCAGGAAGCAUUAAGAACAAUAACCGGAACAUGAGGUGAAGACGUUCAACUAGGAGUUUGGGAAGAGCAAGAGCAAUGAUGAGUCGAAGGAGAUGAUAUUAGUGGCGAAUUAUUUGAAUAUCAAAAUGGUGUUGGAUUAUUUGACAGAGGCUUUGGCCAACAAGAUCAAGAACAAGAGUGUCGAGUAUGUUCGGAAGUUAUUUGGGAUUGAAAAUAAUUUUACGCCUGAGGAGGAGGAAGCAGGCCGGAAGGAGUGUGAGUGGACUUUUGAGGGUGUUGAUCCAGAUGGUGAUGAUUAAGCAUAAGCUUUUUAAAUUUUAAUCCCGAUCGUUAUUUAAUUGAAGUAGUUUUAUGUUUUAUGAUAAUUAUUGGUUGGAUAUCAACAAGCGCGUAGAUCAGCUGCUGUGGAGUUAUUCUAUCUUAACCAAGGUCUUUAGUUCAAGGCUUGGGAACGCAACUGCAUUAGAUACUUGUUUGGUGGUCUUCGGUUCGAGGCUUGGGAACGCAACUGCGUUAGAUACUUGUUUGGUGAUGCAUGGAUGAUUGCUCUUUAUUAAAAGACCAAGCUCUCGUAAUAAGAAAUAUUUUGUGGGCUGAUUUUUUAUUUUUUAUUUUUGAGAAUGCCCAUUGGAUUGUUUAAACGUGCACUUUGCUCGCAUGAUCCUCGACCGAGGAAUAUAAUAAAAUAAGUUAUAGGGGUUCAGUUUAAUAAUAGGGAAAUUAUCAUUGCACCACUAUUAUUUUGUCUUAUGUUCAUCCAACCACUAAAAAAUGGUAUCAUAUUCUCUGUACCACCUUUCUUUUCACAUUUGUAUUAACUAAUCACUUUUGCACUAACAUCGUUAAAUAAUUUAUAUAAAAUGAUAAUUUUACCCCAUAUAAAUUAAAAGACCAUUUUAUUUUAUAAAAACUUUAAAAAUAAAAAAUUAUAAUGAUAAAAAUAUCCCUAAAUUUAAUAAAAAUAAAUCCCAAAAUUAAAAUUUUUAUUUUUAAUAAAAAUAUCUUAAUAUAAAAUUAUAAUUAUAAAAUAAUUGUAAAAUUUUUGGAUUUAAUAAAAAUCCCCUAAACUGCUGUACCGUACAUCCGCCUUGGCCGUACAGCAGAAGAAAAUAAAAACACAAAAUAAAUUAUUAUUAUUGAUUCAAUACUCAAUAAAAAUUAUAAACCCUAAUCCUUUCAUAAAUAGUGGUGUUAAAUUCUAACUAAUAUAUUUUUUUGAGAAUGCCCAUUGGAUUGUUUAAACGUGCGCUUUGCUCCCAUGAUCCUCGAUCAAGGAAUAUAAUAAAACAAUUCCAACCAAUCGUGCACUCUUCGGACAAAUUGAUAAGAGGUCAAGAGUCUUUUUUUUUUUUUUUUUAAUAUAGUGGAGCCUAGUAAAGACUAGGACAAACAGAGCAGGAAUGAAAGUCUCAUACAUAUUAUUACAUAACUAAUAUCCAAUCCCCUCCGGAUAAUUAGUCAAGAUUCUUUUUUUAAUACAACAAAACCGAGUUGCUUUCUCUAUAAAAUUGAAUAAAUUGUUUUCAUUUUAAUUUUUCAAUAAAGCAAAAAAUUAGCAACUAGAUGAUCGUGCUCAAACAAUUCAAUAGGCCACAAAUCAGUCCAAAAUUUAUGUCGAGGUUAGGUGACCCAAUUUAAUUAAAAAAAUAAAGCGACAAGUGGACAAUUCUUUUAUUAAACCCGGGCCCCGACUCAUGUGCUAGAUUCCUAUUUUAAAUUUGUCUAUUUUCACUGGUUAAACUGUCUUGCUAUACCAAGAAAGCCCUUCGUAUCUUCCACCUCUUCAAUGAUUCGGGUUCUCUCCAUUGAUGUUUUGAAUACUCAUUGAAAUUAAGUGAGAAAAUAUGUGCAUCUAUUGAUGGUGGUGACAUACAACAGAUAAGUGUGAGAGAUUAAACAACUACUUGAAAAUACUUUGAUCCUUUAGAUAGAAAUUGACAAUUUAGGCUUUGUUGCACUUUGUGACCGUGGCAGAAAUUGUCGCCACGAUUGUGAUAGAUUUUUUACGCCAUGAGUACCUCACGUUUUAUAUGUCCCAAAUUCAGGGUUGGACAAACUAUGGGUCAAUCUGGCAAUGUUAUAAUUUUUAAAAUAAUUGUUAAUAAUUGUGCUGUAAAAUUAAUCAAAUGCGAGAGUUAAACAUUUAGUAAAAAAUUAUUUUUAAAAGUGUUGUGAGUUUUAAAGUCAAUCAUAUGUAUUUGGUAAAUCUUACUAGAAUACAAAUUAUUAAAAUAGGCAUAACAUUAAAUAAAAUUUAUUUGCAUACACACACACACACACACACACAUAUAUAUGAUAAUUAAUAGCUAAAUUAAAUAUUUUUAUCUUAUUAAGUUUAAUUUUUAUUUUGUUAUCUUAAUAUAAUUGGUAAUGAUAAUAAUCUCUUUAAAUUUAAUAGUUUUAUUUCUUAAUUGAAUAAGGACAAUUUUACAUAUUUAUAAUAUAUGUGAAGAUAUAUAAGAAAUUGUUUUAAGUGUCUAUUUUAUAUGACUUAUCUCAUGGUCAUAAAUACUUAUCUAAUCUCAUAAGUUCUUUUCAAAAAUUUUGUUGUUGUUUGAUUAUUUUUUAGUAGAAUUUUGACGAUUAAAUAAGUUAUUUUGCCUCUAUUAGUGAAACUCAAGUUUUUGACCUUUUGGAGUGCUAAGGGUUAAUCAAAUUUUCAUCACUAGCGAAACUCAUAAGUACCUAUCCGUCCGAUCGGAGAGUGAAUAAUCAAAUUUUCAUCACUCUGUGCUGGGCCACAAAACGCUCUUGCUUUUUCUUUCAACUUUCCAGGACCCAUGCUUUACGAUUGCUUGACUUAUCUUGCUUUUAUGUUAUAGCAUUAUGUGCUUGACUUGACUUGGGGCUUACUGUAGACAAAUUUCUCUCUCAUGUCACAGUAAAUGUUCUAACGUGAUUAUAAAAUUUCUCAGUAAAGCAACUAAUUAAUUAUUACGAAUUGUAGAAUCAAUACUAAUACUGGUUAUUCAAAUAUGAAAACCUUUCAUAGAAUCGCAUUGCUACAUUAUCACACUAUUGCCUUUCCUUUUUAUCUGCCAUGCCAUCCUCCAUUACUGAUGUCAGCUAGGUGACAAUUUAAAAAUUGAGGUGACAAGCAGACAAUUUAUAGGUGCUUGACUUGUUGGAAAGGCGAGUGAAAACAGCAACAGUAACUAGAGAAAUCAACUGCUCUUAUCUUUUAAACAUUCUGUGGGUGAGCUAAACAUAACAAAGGCACUAGCAAGCAAGACAAAUGAAAUGCUUCUAAAAAAUACAAAAAUUGAUCACAAGCAGUAGAAAUUAAUAAAUCUACAAUGCAAUUAGAGAAGAAACUAUUUGUGUGGCUGUGAGUAGAAGGAGAAUAACAGCUGCAAUUACGGAGAUAGACGCCCAUGGCGUGUUGAAAUAAUUUUGCUUCAAGGUUGCCUUCCAUUUGUGCCAUGGUAAUUUGCGAUAGGCCUGUAAAUUAGUCACAACACCAGAAUAUUGGAAAUUAUAACUAUUUAACGUACAGUCGGGAUCAAGGUUUCGAAAAACAGUUGGAACAGUUUCAGUAUUCCCUAGCCUAAUAACUUCAUUUUGAACGAGUAAUUCUGCAUCUUUCGGACAGCUGAUGAGACAAGCCGUCAUUAUAAUGUAAUCAUUAAAAUAUUUCUUGUAGCCAUGCAUACUCUCGAAGGCUAGAAGAUUUCUGUACGCACGCUGUGUGUUCUCAUACACCUUGAAAAAUGGAAUUUCCAGAAUUCCUUGAUUAAAAUUGAUGUCAAGUAGGUUUUUGGUUGACCCGGCAGCUGGUUUAAACUUGACUCCGGCUUGGUGAAGUUCCUUCAUACUGGGUAUGCUUUGAUCUUUCAAUAUAAUUUGAGCACGUGACUGGGAUGGCUGAAGACAGAGUAUAAUCAGAUCAAGAAAAUGCUCAGCUUUGGAAAAGUGGAUUUCUAGCGAAUUCUCGUCCAGUGGAAGAAAUCCAAGUACGUGAUUCCUGAACCAAAAACAUGUAAUUUUGACAAAGGAAAUAUUCUCGUAAAAGGCAUCUUCAUAGGUUGCAGUUUUGGCUAGAUCAAACAAGUCAUAGAGAAUGAAUAAUGGAAGUUGAUUUUCUAGCAGCAAAAAGUCGUGCCAUAUUUCGUUACGCAAUUGGGGUUUUCCAAAAAUGCGAUCAUCAACAGUUCUGAAAUUACGUUUAUAAAAUCUCAGAAAGAACUCAAUAAGAAAGACAGCAUCCACUAAAACCAUCGCUACGAACUCAUCACUUCCAAGAUUACGAAUGGUUGCUGCAUAACAAUUGCGCAGUUUUGUUUCCUUUGCCUUUAUAAAUCCAAGGAAACUUGCCAUGCUCACCUUAGUCCGUUGAAGAAAAUAUUUUAGGUACCUUUGUUUGUGCUCUUCCAUGGGUUUUAGCUCUUCCUUACCAUGAUGAAAAGGGCCAAUUGAAACCAUUUGCGGAGUAAAAUGUCUUGGAUUUAAACACCGCUUGGGCUCAGCAACUCUAUAGAUGGAACAAUCUUUAGACAAGUGAUGCAGGGUCUCCAACUUCGCACUCAAAGUAUCUGCUAACUUCUCCAUAUCAAUCGAUACAUCCUCACUGUUAUCCAUCUUCUAUUAAUUGUUCACUGCAGUAGCAACAAAGUAAAAUAAACGAAAUUAUCAGUAUAUUUAGAUGACAGCAUUAGAAACAAUUAAUAAUCGAAAACAAUCUGCACAGCUAAUCUUUGUAAUUACAAUUUGUCAGUAUGAAAUGAAUCACAGUUCUUCAUUAAUCUUCAAAUUCUAACUAUAAUUAAUAAACAAAAAUCCUCACCAAAAAAAAAAAUAAAUAAUAAUAAUAAUAAUUUAUUCUUUAUAAAUAUCAAGGGGACGACUUGAGUCUUUAUAUAUAUAUAUAAUUUUUGUCAUUAUGUUCUUGACGGUGUUAAGAGAUGCAAGUCUUUGCCAGGCCACCAAGCGCUUUCGCUAUUUUUUUCAGGGAUCCAUGCACAUGCUUUAAUUUCUUUUAAUUCAAUCACUUUAAUUUUCUGGUUUUGUGCUAUAGAUUAUUAACUUUUAUCAUUAGUAGUUUUCUAGUAUAGAAUGUUAAAGUUCACGAAAAAUUUGAAAAGUUUUAAAACUGUAGUGUUUAAUAAUAUUAUAAAAUUAAACUUUAAAAUUAUUUUUUCGAACUUUUUCGUACUUAAAAAAAAAAAAUCUACUUUUAUCAUUAUGUGCUUCACUUGACUUAGGCUAACCAUAGCUAAUUUUUUUCUAGGUUGGAUAUUAAUCUAUAAAUUCACAAUAAAAAUUUUAACUUUGAUUAAAAUUUCUUACCUAAAGCAACUAAAAAAUUUUAAGGUAUAUCUCUUGCUAAGCUGGAAUCUAUAUAUAUAUACUGGCUACUCAAUUAUCUGGUUUAGCUAUUUUAUUAACAUAUUUGCUUAUUUAUCUCUCUUUUGUCAUUUCCUUUAAUUGACUGCAUCAAAUUUUUACAAUAUUACUUUUCUUUUUCUUCUGCCUGUCUCCAUUAUUGACGUUAGCUCAGUGACACAUUCUAAAAUUGAGAUUACACGUAGACAAUUAAUAAAUUGGUCUAUCUCUUUAUUUCGAUAAAUUAGUUAAAGGCCGUGGCUAUUUUAGAGGAGUUUCGAAGCCAUACAUUUGAAAUGAAAAAUAAUAAAAAAUAUGUUAUUAUUUUGAUCGUAUAGUUAUAAAAAUAUGCUCUAAAGUGGAGUAACUCCAACAUAAUCAAACCCGACUAGUAUAAUUAUUAAAAUUUUAUUAUAAUGGAAUUGAAAAGGUGAGUGAAAACAACGGUAAGGUCCUGUUUGGAAUUGAGGUGUUGUAACUUUUAAGCUACAACUUUUGUGGGAAAAAAAAUAGUAAGUAUGAAACAAAAGUUAAUAAUUUGUAGUAAAUAUAAAUUUUAAAAAAUAAUUUUAACAAAAUUAUUAAAGAUAUAAUAUAUUUUUUAUGAUACAAUUGAGAAAUCAUUUCAACAUAUCUUCCAAGCUAUGGCAAUUAGUGUUUAACAAAUACUUUAAUAUUGUAACUUUUAAGAUAUAGUUGUCUAACCUCGAUUCCAAACGCACCCUAAGUAUAGAAAUCACCCUAAGUAUAUUUUUAACAAUGUUAUAGUUAGGUGACAAAUAAAAAAGUAAGGUGACAAGUAGACAAUAUAUGUGUACAAUGUUUGUUUCUUGAUACCGACGCGCGAGCUUAGUAAAUUAACAAAUUUUUAUCAUCAAUUAUGUGCUUGAAUUUUUGGAAAGGUGAGUGAAAACAGCAACGGCAAGUACAGAAAUCAACUGCUCUUAUUUGUUGUCCAUUCCGUGGUUGAGCUGAGCAAAACAAAAGUACUGACAAUAUACACAAGCCGUGAAAUUUUCUUUAAAAAAGAUUGAAAAUAGCAUGAAAAAAUUGGUUUACAAUGCAAUGAGAGAACAAACUGUUUGUGUGAACGUGGGUCAAAGGACAACAACCACUGCAACGACGGAGAUAGAUGCCCACGAAAUGUUGAAAUAAUUUUGCCUCAAUGUUGCCUUCCACUUGUGCCAUGGUGAUUUGGAAUAGGCUUGUAGAUUAGCAACAAUACCAGAGUAUGGUAUUGAUGAGCAGUGAUGACCGUUGAUAAUAAAAAGAUGUUGGAUUAUCUGACAGAGGCUUUGGCCAACAAGAUCAAGAACAAGAGUGUCGAGUAUAUGUCAGGAAGUUACUUGGGAUUGAAAAUAAUUUUACGCCCGAGGAGGAAACAGCCAGGAAGGAGUGUGUGUGAGUGGACUUUUGAGGGUGUUGAUCCAGAUGGUGAUGAUUAAGUAUAAGCUUUUUAAAUUUUAAUCCCCAUCAUUAUUUAAUUGAAGUAGUUUUAUGUUUUAUGUUUUACAAUAAUUAUUGAUUGGAUAUUGAUUGGUGUUGAAUUUGAUUAUGGUCCUGUUUAGAAUUGAGGUGCUGUUAAAAAAAAUUGUAAUUAUAAAAAAAUUAAUAAUAUGUAGUAAAUAUAAAUUUUAAAUAAUAAUUUUGACAAAAUUAUUAAAGAUAUAAUAAAUUUUUUAUUUCACAAGUGAAAAAUCAUAUCAAUAUAUCUUCGAAACUACAGUAAUUAGUGUUUUCCAAACAAUUUAAUACUGUAGUUUUUAAGAUACAACUGACCAAUCUCAAUUUUAAACGCAUCCUAUAUCUAAUCACACUUCACUACUUUCAAUUUAUAUUUAUUAGCGCCUUUUUUAAUUUAUAUUUUUGGCAUUUAUUUAGAGUAAAAUAAUAAUUUUAUGUUUGUCGGUAAAAAAGUCAUUUGAUCAAUAAUCUGUUAAUUCUAUUAACAAAAUUAAGACGGCAGUAGGCGGGUGUAAGACAAUGUAUUUUCAAAUAAAAUUCAGCAAAAAAAUGUGUAUUUAAAAAAAACACAAAAAAGAGUUGAUGGAUGGAUAAUUACUCUUUAUUAAAAGACCAUGCUCUCGUAAUAAGAAAUAAUUUGUGGGCUGAUUAUUAUUAUUUUUUUUUUGAGAAUGCCCAUUGGAUUUUUUAAACGUGCGCUUUGCUCGCAUGAUCCUUGACCGAGGAAUAUAAUAAUUCCAACCAAUUGUGCAAUCUUCGGACAAAGUGAUAAGCGGUCAAGAGUCUUUUUUUUUUUAAUAUAGUGGAGCCUAGUAAAGACUUGGACAAACAGAGCGGGACUAAAAAUCUCAUACAUAUUAUUACAUAACUAAUAUCUAAUCCCCUCCGGAGAAUUAGUCAAUAGUCUUUUUUUAAUACAACAAAACCGAGUUGCUUUCUCAUAAAAUUGAAUAAGUUGUUUUCAUUUUAAUUUUUCAAUAAAGCAAAAAAUUAGCAACUAGAUGAGGGAACAAACUGUUUGUAUGGAUGUGAGUAGAAGAAGAAUAACAGCUGCAAUUACAGAGAUAGACGCCCAUGGAGUGUUGAAAUAAUUUUGCUUCAAGGUUGCCUUCCACUUGUGCCAUGGUAAUUUGCAAUAGGCCUGUAGAUCAGCAACAACACCAGAAUAUUGGAAACAAGAAUAGUUUAUUAUACAUCCAUUAUCAAGGUUAUGAAAUAAAGUUGGAAAUGCUUCAGUAUACCCAAGCCCCAUAAUUUCGUUCUGAACGAGUAAUUCCGCAUCUUUUGGAGUGUUGACAAGAUAAUCCAUCAUUAUAAUAUGGUCAUUAAAAUAGCUAGUGUAGCAAUGCAUCAUCUCGAAAGCCAGAACAUUUCUGUACAAACGCUCUGUGGCACCAUACACCGUUAAAAAUGGAAUUUCUAGAAUUCCCUCAUUAAAUUUGAUGUCGAGUAGAUUUUUGCUUGACCCCGGUUUAAACUUGACUCCGGCUUGGUGAAGUUCCUUUAGACUGGGAAUGUUCACAUCUUUCAACGCAAUAUCUGAAUGCGACUGGGAUGGCUGAAGACAGAGUAUAAGCAGAUCAACAAAAUGUUUAGCUCUCGAAAAGUUGAUUUCUAGCAAAUUCUCCUGUAUUGGAAGAUAUCCAGCAAUAUUACCCCUGAACCAAAAACAGGAAAUUGUCAUGAAGGAAAAUUCCUCAUACAAGUUCGUUUCAAACAUUGUUGUUUUGGCUAGAUUAAACAAGUCGUUGAGAAUGAACAAUGGAAGCUGAUUUUCUAGCAGCAAAAUCUCAUGCUUCAUAUCAACAUGCAAAAAUGAUUUUCUUGAUAUGAGAUCCUCAUCCGUUCUGAAAUUAGGUUGAUAAAACUUCAGAAAGAGCUCAAUGAGAAACACAGCAUCCACUAAAACCAUUUUUAUGAACUCAUCACUCCCAAGAUGAAUUGUUUCAGCAUAACAGUUGCGCAAUUCUGCUUCCC